CUUGUGUCUUUUUCAUGCUUUUCAAGCUAUUUAACUGUUGAAUAUGGGUAAAAGGUGCGUGAUAUCGCCCAGGCAGUUUCAAGAAUUUCAGAGGGAAGACCUGUUUUGUAUUUUUUACUUGUGCAGGAGCACGGCUAAGCUCUGAGAGAUCCAAGGACAAAAGGCCAGAGUCAAGGAAAAGUGGAAGAUAAUGAGGUCCCAGCCUACUUCACACAUGUUGUCUGGGGCCGCUUCUCUGGCAAUGCAUGUUGUUGUACAAGCAACC